UGCAAAUACAUAAAGCAUAUUCAUCAAAAUGAUAACACUUGCGAUACAUUUCACAAACGCGCCGCAAAUGCACAAAGCACAUUCAUCAAAAUGGCUACACAACCCGGUGCAAAUUCAGAAAACACGCAAAUCCAUUCCCAACACAACAGAAGUGCUGCUUCCGGAGGACACGGAGCGCGGUGGACUUCAAUGAGACCAUCGGGAAGCAGCAACAACCAAGUUAAAAAUCACAGUGUUUUGUCCUUUCUGUUGCUUCAGAUUGGAAAAAAACACCAAAGUUUUGCAGCUCUUGUGGGUGUAAUGUACAGUUUUUAGAAGAGGCCAAAUCUGCACUGUCUAUAUCUACGGAUGAAGACUGUGGACCAUCUCAUGGCAGAGGUGGACACAUCUGAGGUGGAUGUUGGUGCAGUUCUGUCCCAGUGAUCAGGAGACGACAAAAAGGAAGGUAGUGGUGGAGGAGG